UACGUAGGGGGCUAGCGUUGUCCGGAUUUAUUGGGCGUAAAGAGCGUGUAGGCGGCCAAGCAGGUCCGUUGUGAAAACUGGAGGCUUAACCUCCAGACGUCGACGGAAACCGCGUGGCUAGAGUCCGGUAGGGGAGCACGGAAUUCCUGGUGUAGCGGUGAAAUGCGCAGAUAUCAGGAGGAACACCGGUGGCGAAGGCGGUGCUCUGGGCCGGUACUGACGCUGAGGAGCGAAAGCGUGGGGAGCGAACAGG
rnacentral:rRNA from 1 species